UACGUAGGGUGCAAGCGUUGUCCGGAAUUAUUGGGCGUAAAGGGUGCGUAGGCGGUCGGGUAAGUCUGAUGUGAAAUCUCACAGCUUAACUGUGAAACUGCAUUGGAUACUAUCCGGCUCGAGGAAUGGAGGGGAGACUGGAAUACUUGGUGUAGCAGUGAAAUGCGUAGAUAUCAAGUGGAACACCAGUGGCGAAGGCGAGUCUCUGGACAUUUCCUGACGCUGAGGCACGAAAGCCAGGGGAGCAAACGGG
rnacentral:rRNA from 1 species